UGUGGGAGCUGGCUUGCCUGCGAUGACGGUGGCUCAGUCACCACAAUUGUCACUGAUACACCGCCAUCGCAGGCAAGCCAGCUCCCACA
rnacentral:misc_RNA from 1 species